GUAGUUGUUUCGGCAACUCGACCGGUGCUGAGAAGACGACCAAACUUGAUCAUUUAGAGGAAGUAAAAGUCGUAACAAGGUUUCCGUAGGUGAACCUGCGGAAGGAUCAUUACAGAAAUCCCAAAUACAAAACACUCAGUUCAACUGAGUUGUUUCCAGGUUGUAAUACUUGGAUGCCUCGCAGAAUGGCCUGCCUUCGGUGGAGCGCUUCAGUUCUACCUAUGCCUCGCAGAAUGGCCUGCCUUCGGUGGAGCGCUUCAGUUCUACCUAUGCCUCGCAGAAUGGCCUGCCUUCGGUGGAGCGCUUUAGUUCUACCUAUGCCUCGCAGAAUGGCCUGCCUUCGGUGGAGCGCUUUAGUUCUACCUAUGCCUCGCAGAAUGGCCUGCCUUCGGUGGAGCGCUUUAGUUCUACCUAUGCCUCGCAGAAUGGCCUGCCUUCGGUGGAGCGCUUCAGUUCCGCCUAUUUGUUAGGCUAUACCUGGUACAUUCGUGUGCCUACGUAUAGUUCCACCUGUGACAGGGUGCCUCCUCGUCUGAUGCUUGUGGGGUGCUUGCAAUCUUGCAUUGCCAGUUCAUCUUGCGGGUGACGAGAUGUGCUGUCGUUCGCGGCAGUGCUAGGCUUAAAGAGUAGCUGUUCCAGCUACGGCUAGGCUACCGCCCUGUUUGUUUGUUACCCAAAUCUAUUUUACACUGUUUAAGUGGUUCAGAUUGGCGCAAGUCAAUUUGUAUCAUUGCACACAACAUGGAUCUUGCGUGAGCUUGGUCGCAUGUUCAGUCGCCUGGCGGUGCCUUAUCCCAGGUAGGACUGAGAAACCUUCGUUCAUUUGGGAAACCAUUUGUUCGAGGUUCGUACAACUCUGAGCGGUGGAUCACUCGGCUCGUGUGUCGAUGAAGAGCGCAGCCAACUGUGUGAAUUAAUGUGAACUGCAUACUGCUUUGAACAUCGACAUCUUGAACGCACAUUGCGGCCAUGGGUUAGCCCAUGGCCACGCCUGUCCGAGGGUCGGCUUAUAAAUUAUCACGACGCCCUACAAGUCGUGGCUUGGGUUUUGCCAGCUGACGUGAUUUCCCCUUUUGGUAAUUUUGGGGUGUCAGAUCUAUGGCGUUUCCCUAAUGUAUCCGGUUACAACCGCAUAUUGGCAUAUUGCCUUUAUGAGGAUGUGGCUGCGGAGUCGUGGCUCAAUGGUAAUUUUAUGUGCGCGCUCCGUCAGUUCGUUCUGGUUUAAUGUUAACCGUAUAUUGCGCUUCGGCGUAUAUUUCCUGACCUCGGAUCAGACGUGAUUACCCGCUGAACUUAAGCAUAUCACUAAGCGGAGGAAAAGAAACUAACAAGGAUUCCCCUAGUAACGGCGAGUGAACAGGGAAAAGCCCAGCACCGAAGCCUGUGGCCAUUUGGUUACAAGGCAAUGUGGUGUUUAGGUCGUUCCGCAGAGGUUCUGCUCCACCCUAAGUCCAUCAAUGAGUACGGUAGUAUGGACGUGGCCCAUAGAGGGUGAAAGGCCCGUGGGGGUGGAGAUCCGAUUGGCCAGAGCCUCUCUGGGUAGACCUUGGAGUCGGGUUGUUUGAGAAUGCAGCCCAAAGUGGGUGGUAAACUCCAUCCAAGGCUAAAUACUAGCACGAGUCCGAUAGCGAACAAGUACCGUGAGGGAAAGUUGAAAAGUACUUUGAAGAGAGAGUAAACAGUGCGUGAAACCGCUCAGAGGUAAACGGGUGGAGUUGAACUGCAAGCUUUGAGAAUUCAGCUGGUGAGUGUGGGUUGAGCUUGGUCAAAUUGGUGAACUCCGGGGUCUGCGUAGUAGCAGGUCUUCGCCUUCGGGUGGGGAUGCGCGAUGCACUUGUCAAGUGUUGUGCGCUCUGGUUGUUCUUCGGCCUACUCGUCAGUGCACUUUCUCAGAGUAGUCACCACGACCGGCACCGCUGUCUGGCUGCUACGGUUAAACCGGUUAUCCAUUGUCCUUGUGGCUUUGUUUAGUCGGGAUGGCAGGUAGCUCGUUGACUUGCUUGUGGCUUGCUGCAGGCGUUCGGUUUUCGAGUGUAAUCAGCUGACUGUAGUGGUUCUGUGCAGUGUGUCGGAGACGGCGGCUUGAGGUGUGUGCAGGCGUUCCUGUUUGCUGACUUGUCCGGGUUUGGUUAUCAUGUUGCCUGUUCAAGCAGGCCUGGUGAUAGCCCGGAUUCGUUCGGUGGGCGGUUGCGUUUGUGGCACUUCCAAGGGCCAAUAGUCUGUGGUGUAGUGGUAGACUUUCCACCCGACCCGUCUUGAAACACGGACCAAGGAGAGUAACAUGUACGCGAGUCAUUGGGCAUUACGAAACCCAAAGGCGCAGUGAAAGUAAAGGUCUGACUCGUUCAGGCUAAGGUGAGAUCCUGUCGUUUCUCACGCGCGGUACUUCCAAGCAUCGAGCGGCAGGCGCAUCACCGGCCCGUCCCAUGACAGUUGUUUUCGGGCAGUUUUCGGUCGGGGCGGAGCAUGAGCGUACAUGUUGAGACCCGAAAGAUGGUGAACUAUGCUUGCGCAGGUUGAAGCCAGAGGAAACUCUGGUGGAGGACCGCAGCGAUUCUGACGUGC
rnacentral:rRNA from 1 species